rnacentral:sRNA from 1 species
ACAAUUUGAUGAAUUUUGAACAACCUCAGUUAUGCAACCACCAUAACAUGAUGGAUUGUUUUAGUAAAUGUUCUUCUUACCAUGAGUUCAUCCUUGUUUAAGUCUGGAGUUUGCCAUGUUAAGGUUGCAGGCGCUUGAAAGUGUAAUAAAAUUGUAGGUUUUUUAAUCUUUUUUUUAAUCUCUUACUGGAAGGAUGAAUUAUAGUUUAAAUAGUAAUAAUACAUUGUCGUUGUUACACUUACUCUUUAAGUAAGCUAGGUCAUUAUUUUCCAAAAUGAAUGUAGUAGAAUUUCAGAAUGGCUUCUGGAACAUGUUUCCUGUUAAAAGGCCUAGAAUAUCCUGCAGUGGUAGAGUUUGCUCCGUUCCAGAAGAUAGCCAAAAAGAAGCUGAGAAAAAAAGAUGCCAAGACUGGAAGCAUCGAAGAUGAUCCAGAAUAUAAGAAGUUUUUAGAAACCUACUGUGUGGAGGAAGAGAAGACCAGUGCCAACCCUGAGACUCUGCUGGGGGAGAUGGAGGCGAAGACAAGAGAGCUCAUUGCUAGAAGAACCACACCUCUUUUGGAAUAUAUUAAAAAUAGAAAAUUAGAAAAGCAGAGAAUUCGAGAAGAGAAGCGAGAAGAACGGAGGAGGAGAGAGUUAGAAAAGAAACGUUUGAGGGAAGAGGAAAAAAGAAGAAGAA